CCCUACGGGACGCAGCAGUGAGGAAUAUUGGUCAAUGGGCUUACGCCUGAACCAGCCAAGUCGCGUGAGGGAAGACUGCCCUAUGGGUUGUAAACCUCUUUUGUCAGGGAGCAACGCCGGCUACGUGUAGUCGGACUGAGAGUAUCUGAAGAAAAAGCAUCGGCUAACUCCGUGCCAGCAGCCGCGGUAAUACGGAGGAUGCGAGCGUUAUCCGGAUUUAUUGGGUGUAAAGGGUGCGUAGACGGGAAAAUAAGUUAGUUGUGAAAUCCCUCGGCUCAACUGAGGAACUGCAACUAAAACUAUUU
rnacentral:rRNA from 1 species